rnacentral:misc_RNA from 1 species
CGCUUGAAUCCCCUUGCCAUCAUCGCAAUCAGAACCCUUUGGAAAAAAUCAAUUCUAAGGACGGUUAAAUCCUCCGACCACCAGUUAACUAUAGACUUCGGGUUCGAAAACAUGGAGGAAGUCAAUCCAUCGAUACCAGCUUCUGCUCAACCUGAUGUGGAGAAUUGGUUAUCCUUACAGGCUAUAUAUGCAAUUGUGUCAAUGCAGCGGCUCACCAAUUUCACUUUCUCUGAAAUGGGAAUAAGAUUUUCUGAUGAAUGCAAAAUUGUAACAGCACUAUCAAGGCUCUCAAUUCCUACUUCACUAAAGUAGUCCUCAGUUCUUCCCACCAAAUUUGCAACUGCAUAGUCUUCUGUCAUCUCAAGAUAUUCUGCUGCACAUCUCAGCAAGGCAAUGUUUCUUGUGCUUAUCUCAAAAUUUAUUCCAUAACAAAACUUUGCUGCAAGUUCAAAUGCCUCUCCUCCACCGGGUAUAUCAGGGAUUUCGAUCGUAGAAACGUCAGCAUCAUUGGAUUCCGAGACCAACUUCCUUAUGUAUCCACUCUUUGAAACUAAUGGGAACUUGUGUAGUGUAAAGGAGAUUCCUGCGGCAUUUACAGUCACAUCACUUGGGAUCUCCUGGGAGAAAAUCCAUUGAGAGGUCCUCUUUGUAGCAGAGAAAAGAAGCUCCUUUUUAGUGGACAUACUGUUUAGAGUAGAAGGUUGUUCAUUAUCAAGAUCAACAUGUCAUCCACCAUGGGUGAUCGAGUCUUUUACGGGCCUUAACCAUGUUCAUUCGUUUUCCCUUAAACUAUUUCCUAAUGAAGCAAACAAUAGAAAGACAUGUUUGUUGCCAUUUUCUUUGCUUCUGUAAGUUCAAUUUUUUCCCUCAUAAGAGCAUAUAAUCAAAACUAUCCAGCCCGGUAAUAAUUGCAGUAUAU